rnacentral:rRNA from 1 species
GACGAACGCUGGCGGCGUGCUUAACACAUGCAAGUCGAACGGAAAGGCCCUGUUGUUGUGGUGUGCUCGAGUUGCUAACGGGUGUGUAACACGUGAGUAACCUUCCCUUGACUGUGGGAUAACUUCAGGAAACGGGUGCUAAUAGCGGAUAGGAGCUCCUGCUGCAUGGUGGGGGUGGGUAAGUUUCUGCGGUUGGGGAUGGACUCGCGGCUUAUCAGCUUGUUGGUUGGGUAGUGGAUUACCACGGCUUUGACGCGUAGCCGGGCUGAGAGGGUGAGCGGCCCGAUUGGGAUUGAGAUAAGACCCAGCCUAAACCCCGACGCAGCAGUGCGGAAUGUAGUAUUGUGGAAGGGACGAAGACGCAGCACAGCCGCGUGCCGGAUGCCGACAUUUAGGUUGUAAAGCGCUUCCGUCUGUGACGAAGCGAGAGUGACGGUAACGGGUAAAGAAGCACCGGCUAACUACGUG